UGGUCUAUAUAUUAAUUCAGAGAAAGUCUGCUUUAAGAGCUAUGAGAUUUUCCUAUGGCCUCUGCUCUCUAUGGCCUAUCUGAGUUGGACGAAUGACGGAGUAUUUCUGUGCCAAAAAUUCUAUUCCAAAUCAUCACAGGAUUCAGUUUUUUUUUUUUCUUGAGUAUGGGCCUGUGUGAUGUCAAUAAGGGCAGAAUUUCCUUGUACAGGCACUUCUCCCGGAAGGGUGCACGCACACAUCGACCAGAACGAGAGAGCAAAAGCACGCCCAUCAACGCACUUUGCUCAGCUUUAGGGAAGUCGGCUACGCUGCACAGGUCACAGGACUUCUGGAAAUCAACAUUGUCACCAAAGAAGUGUGUUUUUGGUUGUCAGAGGCAAGACAACACUGUACAGCUUCCCAAAGAACCCAGCGUUAAGGGAACAGUGGAAGGAGUUUGAUUUUCCGGAGCAGAACGUUUUUUUUGUGUAUUCCCUGCAUUUCAGCGAUGAUUGUUUUAUAAACAAAGCCCAGUUCAACUCCGGAUUUGCAGAUCAUCUAAUGCUGAUGAAGAUGAAGCGGUCCCAGCGAUAAAGGUUCAUGGUCAUGUGUUGGAACCGCAGGCGGUACCAUGGUCCUGUAUAAAGUGGAGAAGCUGCUCAUGAACUCAUGACUUCUCUGCGAUGUGGAAAAGCUGAGCCACCAAUAUCAGACUUCAGCUCUUGAGGCAUUCCACAGUGUCAUUCUGAGAUUCGCCCUGAAGAAUGUUGUUUUUCCUUUUAUUGGAAUGCUAUGCAGGCUAUAUCUUGCAGCAAUGCAUUUCAAUGAGAAUGCUGAUCGUGAACAGCACAGGCGGACUGGCCAUCUGGCAUACCGGGCACUUUCCCGGUGGGCCGACUGCAAAAAAAAUAAAAUAAAUAAAUAAAUAAAUUCUCUCGGCCCAUGAACAGGCCCAUAAAAGUGGUAGGCCUAGAUCAGCGGCCCAAUGUUUUUUCAACUGACACUGGGCUGUUGGCUCAAAACACUUUAGUCAAAAAUAUCACAUAGGCUAGGUUUUUUUCCUUCUGACAGACACGGCCCAUGAAACGCGUAGCUCAGCUGGUUGUUUUCUUGAUUGACACUGGACUGGCCCAAUCAUAUCUUUGAACAGCACCAUCUAUGGGAUUUCUGCCUGCACGCAGUUUCAGUGUGAUCAUGGAGAAGAAACGCAAAGAAGGUGCAGAGAGGCUGCGUGAGAGAAAAAAAUAGGCUCUUCAGGCAGACGCUGCCAAAUGUGUCAAAUUGACACAAAUGUUUUCGGCAGUAGCAGAAAAAGUGUACAAGCAAUAGGGAUAACCGCUCCCUGGAGAGGAUUGUGAAACAAAACCCAUUCAAAAAUGUGGGGGAGAUUCACAAAGAGUGGACUGCAGCUGGAGUCAGUGCUUCAAGAAC